UGGGGAAUAUUGGACAAUGGGCGAAAGCCUGAUCCAGCAAUGCCGCGUGAGUGAUGAAGGCCUUAGGGUUGUAAAGCUCUUUUACCCGGGAAGAUAAUGACUGUACCGGGAGAAUAAGCCCCGGCUAACUCCGUGCCAGCAGCCGCGGUAAUACGGAGGGGGCUAGCGUUGUUCGGAAUUACUGGGCGUAAAGCGCACGUAGGCGGUUUUGUAAGUCAGAGGUGAAAGCCCGGGGCUCAACCCCGGAAUUGCCUUUGAGACUGCAUCACUUGAUCGUCGGAGAGGUGAGUGGAAUUCCGAGUGUAGAGGUGAAAUUCGUAGAUAUUCGGAAGAACACCAGUGGCGAAGGCGGCUCACUGGACGACUGAUGACGCUGAGGUGCGAAAGCGUGGGGAGCAAACAG
rnacentral:rRNA from 1 species